rnacentral:rRNA from 1 species
AUGCAUUUUGAUCUUUGUGAGAUGAAUGGUGUGUUGACUAAAGGUGGAAAGAAAUAUUUCAUGACUUUGAUAGAUGAUUCCACUAGAUAUUGCUAUGUGUACCUGUUAAAUACCAAAGAUGAGGCUCUACACUACUUUAAAUCUAUAAGGCCGAAGUUGAGAAUUAACUCGAAAAGAAAAUUAAACGAGUCCGGUCGGAUCGUGGUGGAGAGUACUUCUCGAAAGAGUUUGAUGCCUUCUGUGCGGAACACGGUAUUAUUCAUGAGAGGACGCCUCCCUACUCACCCCAGCCAAACGGUGUUGCCGAGCGAAAAAACCGUACUCUAA